rnacentral:lncRNA from 1 species
GCCCAGGCUGGAGUGCAGUGGUGCAAUCUCAGCUCACUGUAACCUCCACCUCCUGGGUUCAAGUGAUUCUCCUGCCUCAGCCUCCUCAGUAGCUGGGACUACAGGCGUGUGCCACCAUGCCCAGCUAAUUUUUGUGUUUUUAGUAGAGACGGGGUUUCAGUAUGUUGGCCAGCCUGAUCUCGAACUCCCGACCUCAUGAUCCGCCCACCUCGGCCUCCCAAAGUGCUGGGAUUACAGGUGUGAGUCACCACGCCCGGACUCAACUGACUCUACUUUCAAUGAAUCAAGUUUAAAGCUAAGAAAAAAACUAAAGAAGAAAUGCAGACCAUUUUUUAUAAAGUAGGCUACAAAUGAGUAAAAAACUAUAGCAAAACAAUGCGACAUCAGGCAAUGCAGGUAAAAUAUAUAUGCAUUGUGCACAGUAAGUCUUUAUGUGUAUAAUCUGCGCAUACCUUUUGAUGACCCUUCAAAGAGUUUCUCUGGGCCGUUGCAGGUCAUGGGUUGGGUACAGAAAAUCAGUAGAAGGUGAAAUCCAGUACCCUACACUUUCCUUAAAGCUCCAAUUAGGCAACAAAGUUUCUCUCUCAUAAAACCAGCUCACCAGGUAGGAUGGACCACAAGCUCUGUAAUGAGUAGCAAUAUGGCUUUCAGAAAAAUACAUAGAGAUUACAAUUCAAAGCCCAGAUUGACAUUUGUGACAAAGUGGCACUCUGCCACAAAUUUGUUACCGGAUAGCCAAGAUUUAAGAGACUCACAAAAUUUGACAUUUCAGGGCUAAAGGUCCUGAUGCUGGCCACCUGGACUCCUAGGAAUGCUGGACAUUACAGCUAUCAUUGCAGGAGAUUAAAGACACCUGGAUCAAAGCCAAAGAUGAUGACAGAGCAGGCAGAAUUGUUUCAGUUCAUUUUAAGUUAGUUUACUGCAUAGAUUUGUUAUAAGAGGGCGAGAUUUAACUUUGAGAACUUUUAAUAAUAGAACAGCAAGUUGUCAUCAUGCAGACACGUUUCAUAAGGAAUAAGGGAUAACCCUUGGCCAAAUUGUCAGAGGCAUUUGAAGAGUGAUCCUAUCUUGAAUAGGGGCUGGGUAAAACAAUGCUGAGACCUACUGGGCUGCAUUCCCAGGAG